rnacentral:tRNA from 1 species
AUUUUAAUAGCUUAUAUUAGAGUUUAAUAUUGAAGAUAUUAAGGAGGUUUUUUACUUUAAAAUA